CGCCACCAAUACAUACAACCGCCGCCAUCAAUUGAAGCAACAAAUCGACGAAAAAAAGCACCGUUCGAUCUUCGAAUUACCAGCGAACUUCUUUGAUUCCUGCCGCCUUCUCCAAUCUCCGUCAGCUUCGCCACUCUCCAUAGUCGAACCACUCGAAAGUCUCUCAGUCAAAACCCUAGACGACGUAGACAUUGAUGACGAAUCCAAAAAGGAAGUGGAGAAUACGGAGAGUUUGAGUAGUAGGAAUAACCCCAAACAAAGGUGGUCUUGCAAUACUUGUAAGGCCGAGUUUGAGUCUCUCCAUGACCAGCGUUCUCACUUCAAAUCCGAUAUUCAUCGACUAAAUAUAAAGCUAAGCAUUUCUGGGAGAGACACUAUUAAGGAAGAAGACUUUGAUGAGAUGACAUCUGAUUCCCUAUGUAAG
rnacentral:misc_RNA from 1 species